GAUGAAGAACGUAGCGAAAUGCGAUAAGUAAUGUGAAUUGCAGAAUUCCGUGAAUCAUCGAAUCUUUGAACGCACAUUGCGCCCCCUGGUAUACCGGGGGGCAUGCCUGUCCGAGCGUCAUUGCAACCCUCAAGCGCGGCUUGUGUGUUGGGCUUCGUCCCCCCGUGGACGUGCCCGAAAGGCAGUGGCGGCGUCCCGAAUGGUGCCCGAGCGUAUGGGAACUCUCUUCCGCUCGAACCGGCCCAUUCGGCGCUGGUCGAACCCCAAUUUUUUUUUACCGGUUGACCUCGGAUCAGGUAGGGAUACCCGCUGAACUUAAGCAUAUCAAUAAGCGGAGGA
rnacentral:misc_RNA from 1 species